rnacentral:SRP_RNA from 1 species
AGCUUGGGUCUUACGCAAUGGGAAUCCAUGAACCGUGUCAGGGCAGGAAUGCAGCAGCACUAAGUGGAAACUCCUGUGUGCCGUGAGGGCGCCUGGGCCGAGU